CCUACGGGGGGCAGCAGUGGGGAAUAUUGCACAAUGGGCGCAAGCCUGAUGCAGCCAUGCCGCGUGUGUGAAGAAGGCCUUCGGGUUGUAAAGCACUUUCAGCGGGGAGGAAGGCGUUAAGGUUAAUAACCUUGGCGAUUGACGUUACCCGCAGAAGAAGCACCGGCUAACUCCGUGCCAGCAGCCGCGGUAAUACGGAGGGUGCAAGCGUUAAUCGGAAUUACUGGGCGUAAAGCGCACGCAGGCGGUCUGUCAAGUCGGAUGUGAAAUCCCCGGGCUCAACCUGGGAACUGCAUUCGAAACUGGCAGGCUAGAGUCUUGUAGAGGGGGGUAGAAUUCCAGGUGUAGCGGUGAAACGCGUAGAGAUCUGGAGGAAUACCGGUGGCGAAGGCGGCCCCCUGGACAAAGACUGACGCUCAGGUGCGAAAGCGUGGGGAGCAAACAGGAUUAGAUACCCCGGUAGUC
rnacentral:rRNA from 1 species